rnacentral:lncRNA from 1 species
CUGAAUGGAAGCAGUUGAAAGAAAAGCAAACUUGUAAGAAAAAUUCAAACUGAUCUUGUUAAUUAUGAUACCUAGCAGAAUUAUUUACCAUAACCUCAGUUUUGCUUGGUGCUGAAUCUGCAAAAAAUUUGGAAAUUCAGCCAUUAAUUGUCGAUCAUAAUUUAGUGGAUAUAGAAAAACCAGCGCACAUGAAGCCAUGAACACAGUGACAAACUGCUAAUUUGGGUAGAUCCACCAUUUCUUACAACAAGGCAGCACAGAUUUGUUAAUUGUGUGAUAAUCCUGUGAGAAGUUUGAAUUUUUUCGAACUUACUUUACUGAAUGCUCUCGGCAGUGGACGGAUUAGAUACCCUGCCCAUCAAAUCAAUUCGGCAAAAGAAAAUGGCUCUGAUGGUGAGUGUACUUUUGGUUGUGUU